AUCAAUGCAUCCUUAUCGCGAGCACUCAGCUGUGAGUCAGUGUAAAUAAAAGAGCUGGCAUGUUAAAAAUGAGUCUAGAGCUUAUUUUGUUGUGUGUAUUAUGUUAUGUACUAUACUUAGUAUUUUUUAAUUUUACGAAAGAUCGUGUUAAAUUAAGAGACGAGCUUGAAUGGCGCAGAGAAAAUGAACAAAAGUUGAGGGAUGAUAUCAGAAGGGAAGAAGUAAAAAUAAGCUUUCUUAAAUAUCAUAAGCAAAUGGAGGAAAAACAACAACAGCUUGUGUUGGAGAUCGCACGCAAAGAUCAGCUAAUUCAUAAUUUGGAAAUCAAAAUAGAAGAGAAAGGAUUUUGGAGUUUUUGCAAAUAAACUUUAAGUAAAUAUAAAAAUAAGAUAACCGGCGCCAGCAGCACUCCUCAAGGUAGCCAGCAAUAGAACCCUACAGCAUAAUCACAAUGCAGCCUAGGAGCUGGGAGCUAGGAGCAAGGAUCUACAUUGACUCAGUCUACUUUCCAAUCUCUUUGGCUGACCUUUGAGCGGCUUGCAUCUGCUGAAUUCUUCGUUCGUACCUAUUAGCAUGUACAUAGUAUAUGCAAUAAAGAUUUAAUGGCUUGUGUUUUUCCUGAAAUUAAGUUGGUGCCCUGCGCAGCCAAUAAAUAAAUAAGAAAUGAAAUCGAGUAAAGCAACAACUAUACAGUAUCAAUUAUGUAUGAUAUUAUACACAUUUUUUGGUUACUCGGAAAUUCGAUCGUACACCGAGUUGUGGCAAAGCUCAUUUUGUGAGCAAUAAGUUUUAUUUUGUGGUGAUCUAAUCGGACAUGCCAACUCUUUGAAAUGUGUCACAGAUCCUAGAGACUGGCAUAAUUUCAAAUCGAUAAUUCUUAUCGCACAGUUGAUUCCGUACGUUUUGUAUUGAUUGUUAUCGAUAUAAUCGCAUUGAAAUCGGUAAACGUAUCUGGGAUUUGUAUGAUUACUUGGUGAAAUAUAAAAUGAGCGAUCUGCUGUUAUUUCUGUUGUUUAUAACACUAUUUGUCAUACAUUUAGCAUUCAUGUUUUUAAAGAAUGAACUUAAUAAUUUGACAAAAGUUGUUGAAGAGUCUAAAGAAAAAGAACAGUCGUUGAAGUAUGCCGACUUGGAGAACAAAUUGAAACUGCACAUUCUUCAUUUUGAAAGUUGUAUGGAGAAAUUAAGGCAAGAUCAGGAGCUAAGGAGAACAUUUAUCACCCAAACCACAAAUAUUACGGUUAAUGUCAAUGUGGGAAAGGAAGGUCUGUCCUAAGAUUUUUCCAGAGAAUGCCAUAGCUGGAAAUCGAUAGAUCGAUAACACUUAUAUACCUGAUCAAUUUCAAUGUUUUAUCGUAAGUUUAGUAAGUUGAAGCAGUAAAUAAAAAAGUUUUUAAUGCUUUUCUCAAAUUUAAAUAAUAAAAAUUACUUCUUUUCGGGCAUCUUAAUUUUAAUAAAAGUGUGUUUUAAGUUUUAAUGGUAUAAUUUUUGGUAACAUCAAAAAUAGAUAACAUUAUCAUUGCAUACGCCAGAGUGAGUCAGUUGUCGUGCUUCAAAAUGCUUGAAAAUUUGGGACUUUUGAUUACUACUGGAAUAUGUUUCAUUAUUUAUUUAAUGUUCAAAUAUUUUAUGGAAGAGCGUAAUAAGCUAUUAGUAGAUUUGGAAAAUGCCCGAACAGCUGAACUGUUGAUGAAGGACGAAAUUAAAGAUAUAAAAAUUAAGGCCUGCGAAGAAAAAAUAAACGUCUUGGAGGAUAAAGUGUCGACUCUUAAUAAGCAAGUUAAAUAUAAUAAGGAGCAACUCAAGAACUCGAAGGAAGAAAGAUCGUGUCCAAUAUCUUGAUUUGUUAAGGUCAAUAUGCGACUAAUCCUAAAUAUGAAUAACUAUAACAUUUAGUUUUUUUUUACAAAGUGAGUCUUACCCGGGUUAACUGCUACCUUAAAUUAAUAUAUAUGAUUUGGCUAAUUGAACAUAGCAGUCUUAUCACUUCCGCUGGCAUUAAUCAUAGCUGAGGCAGCCAUUAUAUUUUUAAAUUGAAUUCAAUAAUUUUGUUAAAAAUGUAUUCAAGCGUAUAAAGUUUUACUGAUAAUAA